rnacentral:tRNA from 6 species
GGUCCUAUAGCUCAGUGGGAGAGCACUUCGUUCACACCGAAGGGGUCACUGGUUCAAUCCCAGUUAGGACCA